CCGCUACCUGCAGUCGAGCGGCAGCGGAGGUACCUUGCUACGUUGCCGGCGAGCGGCGGACGGGUGAAUAGUGUCUGGAAAAGUGCCUGAUGGAGGGAGAUAUCUAGUGGAAACGGUAUCUAAUACCGCAUAGUGUCGCAAGACCAAAGAGGGGGAUCUUCGGCCCUCUUGCCCUCAUAUGUGCCCAUAUGGUAUUAUCUAAUAUGUGGGGUAGCGGCUCCCCUAGGCGACUAUCCCUAUGUGGUCUGAGAGGAUGACCAGCCACUGUGGAUCUGACACACGGUCCACACUCCUACGGGAGGCAACAGUGGGGAAUAUUGCACAGUGGGCGCAAGCCUGAUGCACCCGUGCCGCGUGUAUGAAAAAGGUCUUCGGUUUGUAGAGUAUUUUCCGCGGAGAAGAAGGUGUUGAGGUUAAUACCCUCAGCUAGUGACGUUACCCGCAAAAGAAGCACCGGCUAUCUCCGUGCCAGCACCCGCGGUAAUACAGAGGGUGCAAGCGUUACUCAGAUUUAGUGGGCGUAAAGCGCACGCACGCGCUCUGUCGAGUCAUAUGUGAUCUCCCCGGUCUCACCCUGAGAUCUGCAUUCGACUCUGGCGCGCUAGACUCGUGUAGAGGGGUAUAGAAUUCGAUGUGUAGCGGUGAUGUGCAUAGAGAUCUGGAAGAAUACCGGUGGCGAACGCGCCCCCGUGCACAGACACUGACUCUCAUGUGCGAGCGCGUGGAGAGCACACAAUAUUAUAUACCCUGAUACUCCACGCCAUACGCUAUGUCGACUUGGGUUGUGUGCCCUUGACGCGUGUCUUCCGGAUCUCACGCGUUAACUCGACCGUCUGGAGUGUACGGCACAGGUUACACUCAUAUGAUGUGACGGGGCCCGCACAGCUGUGAACAUGUGUUUUAUCUCUAUGCAGCGCGAGACCUUCAUCACUCUUGAUCUCGAGAGAUCUUUACAGAUGUGCUUUGGUGCUCUUCGAAUCUCUGACACAGCUGCUGCAUGUCU
rnacentral:rRNA from 1 species